rnacentral:rRNA from 1 species
GCGCAGCAGGCGAGAAAACUUUACAAUGUGCGAAAGCACGAUAAGGGAACUCUGAGUGCCUCCUAAGGAGGCUGUUCUGAUGUCUAAAAAGCAACAGAAGUAAGGGCUGGGUAAGACCGGUGCCAGCCGCCGCGGUAACACCGGCAGCCCAAGUGGUAGCCACGUUUAUUGGGUCUAAAGCGUUCGUAGCCGGCCAGGUAAGUUCCUUGGUAAAUUUAGCCGCUUAACGGUUAAGCUUUCAGGGAAUACUGCUUGGCUUGGGACUGGGAGAGGUCAGAGGUACUCCGGGGGUAGGGUGAAAUCUAUUAAUCCCUGGGGGACCACCGGUAGCGAAGGCGUCUGACCAGACCAGGUCCGACGGUGAGGGACGAAGGCUAGGGGCGCGAACCGGAUUAGAUACCCCCGUAGU